GAUGAAGAACGCAGCGAAAUGCGAUACGUAAUGUGAAUUGCAGAAUUCAGUGAAUCAUCGAAUCUUUGAACGCAUAUUGCGCUCUUUGGUAUUCCGAAGAGCAUGCUUGUUUGAGUAUCAGUAAACACCUCAACCUCUUCUUGAUUUUUCAAAAGGAGGGUGGACUUGAGCUAUCCCAACAACCUUUACCGGUCGGCGGGCGGCUUGAAAUGCAGGUGCAGCUGGACUUUUAUCUGAGCUAAAAGCAUAUCUAUUUAGUCCUCGUCAAACAGGAUUAUUACUUUUGCUGCAGCUAACAUAAAGGAUAAUUGUCCUCUUUGCUGACUGAUGCAGGAUUUUACGACACUUUAUGUGUUGUUCAACUCGAUCUCAAAUCAAGUAAGACUACCCGCUGAACUUAAGCAUACCAAUAAGCGGAGGA
rnacentral:misc_RNA from 1 species